rnacentral:rRNA from 1 species
CCUACGGGUGGCAGCAGUGGGGAAUAUUGCACAAUGGGCGCAAGCCUGCUGCAGCCAUGCCGCGUGUGUGCAGAAGGCCUUCGGGUUGUAAAGCACUUUCAGCGGGGAGGAAGGCGUUAAGGUUAAUAACCUUGGCGAUUGACGUUACCCGCAGAAGAAGCACCGGCUAACUCCGUGCCAGCAGCCGCGGUAAUACGGAGGGUGCAAGCGUUAAUCGGAAUUACUGGGCGUAAAGCGCACGCAGGCGGUCUGUCAAGUCGGAUGUGAAAUCCCCGGGCUCAACCUGGGAACUGCAUUCGAAACUGGCAGGCUAGAGUCGUGUAGAGGGGGGUAGAAUUCCAGGUGUAGCGGUGAAAUGCGUAGAGAUCUGGAGGAAUACCGGUGGCGAAGGCGGCCCCCUGGACAAAGACUGACGCUCAGGUGCGAAAGCGUGGGGAGCAAACAGGAUUAGAUACCCCUGUAGUC